UGACACGUCUGACUAGUGCCGUCACCGAACGGUCGGCAGGCGAUCCGCGUCGGUCGUGCUGAGGUGGUAUGGUUCCCCAGAGGCCGGUUCUUGUGCUGCCUACCCCUUCAAGGGAAGGGGCCACUUGAUGUAAGCCUUCCUUCCGGGCCCUUCCAAGGGGGGCAGGAGGACAACAGACCCCCCCCCGCGUUCCCCCCACCCUUUUCGGUCGCGUGGCCCGCGGGGACGUGCGAUGCUUUCGGACCCAGCGAACGCCGUGGGCGAGGACUCACGUCCCAGUCCCGAAAAAAAGCUCCGAUAUAAUCCAUGACGCCCGCCCCCCCCCCCCGCCCCCCCGGGGGGCGGGGGGCGAGGCGCGGCGUCGCAGAGGAAUGCUACCUGGUGAUCCUGCCAGUGUGAUGUGGUACAGCC
rnacentral:misc_RNA from 1 species